GAUGAACGCUGACAGAAUGCUUAACACAUGCAAGUCAACUUGAACUUCGGUUUGGGUGGCGGACGGGUGAGUAACGCGUAAAGAACUUGCCUCACAGAUAGGGACAACAUUUGGAAACGAAUGCUAAUACCUGAUAUUAUGAUUUUAGGGCAUCCUAGGAUUAUGAAAGCUAUAUGCGCUGUGAGAGAGCUUUGCGUCCCAUUAGCUAGUUGGAGAGGUAACGGCUCACCAAGGCGAUGAUGGGUAGCCGGCCUGAGAGGGUGAUCGGCCACAAGGGGACUGAGACACGGCCCAGACUCCUACGGGAGGCAGCAGUAGGGAAUCUUCCGCAAUGGACGAAAGUCUGACGGAGCAACGCCGCGUGAGUGAAGAAGGUUUUCGGAUCGUAAAACUCUGUUGUUAAAGAAGAACAAGGAUGAGAGUAACUGCUCAUCCCCUGACGGUAUUUAACCAGAAAGCCACGGCUAACUACGUGCCAGCAGCCGCGGUAAUACGUAGGUGGCAAGCGUUGUCCGGAUUUAUUGGGCGUAAAGCGAGCGCAGGCGGUUCUUUAAGUCUGAUGUGAAAGCCCCCGGCUCAACCGGGGAGGGUCAUUGGAAACUGGAGAACUUGAGUGCAGAAGAGGAGAGUGGAAUUCCACGUGUAGCGGUGAAAUGCGUAGAUACGUGGAGGAACACCAGUGGCGAAGGCGACUCUCUGGUCUGUAACUGACGCUGAGGCUCGAAAGCGUGGGGAGCAAACAGG
rnacentral:rRNA from 1 species